UUUUGUAAAUUAAUUAAAGAUUAGAUUGUUAUUCCUUUUUAUUUUGAAACAGGAUAAUUUUUUUAUUUUCUAAAUAGGAUAUAAGAUGUUACUUUCAAGCAUUACUACUUAUAAAUAUAUGCAUAGUAUAAUAGUGCGCAGAAAUUUAACGUUGCAACGCAGCGUUUCAAAAUGCAUUUAUAAAAACGUAAAUGCAGCCUUGUUUAAAUUGAUGUGGUAAGUUUAAUUUUAUUAUGAAACCUUUAAAUUUAAAACAAAAAAAAAUUACUUGCCUUAUAUUUCCUUUAAAAAAAUAAAGAAAGGAAGAGGAGCAAGACAUCUCAAAUAUAUGUUUAAAGAAAUCUUUUUUUUCUGAAUAUAUUAAUAAUAAAGGCGAUUUAACACAUUCUCAAUUUUAUAAUUAUGCAAGAUGAGGUAUUUAUGGUGUAUAAUUUACACAACUUUAUAGCUCAAGGAUUUCAAAAUCCUGUAUAGCUUAUAUUGUGAAAUAAGUGUGUACAGGAAUUUGUAAUUAUGCUGUUGCUGUACAUAUUCACAUGCUGAGACCUAAUAAAAAUGAUUGGAAAAGAGUAAAUUUAUUAUAAUAAAUCAAGAUUAAUAUUUAUUUAUCUUUAGUUUUCCCAGGAAUUCCUGCUUCAAUCAGGAUUUCCAAAUUGUUUUGGGGCUAUAGAUGGAAAACAUAUCUAUAUCAAUUUAUUUUUAUAGAUGUGGGAGCAUAUGGAAAGCAGAGUGAUGGUGGAGUAUUUAGAAAUAGCUCUUUAUAUAGAGUUGGUGAACCAUACACUUGAUCUGCCUGCUUUAUGUAAUCAUCCAAAUUAGAUACAACAAUGAUAAACAUCACUACAAGACCUUUCUUACCUAGCAGGGAAAAUAAUUCUACUUCAAUGGAAUCAAAAAUUAUUAGAGACAAAUAUAAAAAUUUUAUAAAUUAUUAAAUUUUUAUAUUUAUAUUGUAUUAAAUUUAUUUAUGAAAAUAUUUUAUAUUAAAUUGUGUUACAUGUUUAAUUUUUAUAGACAAUUA